GAGAGAGAGAGAGAGAAUGUGGGGUAAGAGUAGAGAGGGAGAGAGAGAAUGUAGGGUAGGGGUAGAGAGGGAGAGAGAGAAUGAGAGUAAGAGUAGAGAGAGAGAGAGAUGAGGGUAAGUGUAAAGAGAGAGCGAGAUAAUGAGGGUAUGCGUAGAGAGGGAGAGAGAGAAUGUGGGGUAAGAGUAGAGGGAGAGAGAGAAUGUGGGGUAAGAGUAGAGAGGGAGAGAGGGAGAGAGAGAAUGAGGGUAAGAGUAGAGUGAGAGAGAGAGAUGAGGGUACGAGUAGAGAGGGAGAGAGAGAUGAGGGUAAGAGUAGAGAGAGAGAGGAGGGAAGAGGGAGAGAGAGAGAGAAUGAGGGUAAGAGUAGAGAGAGAGAGAGAGAAUGAGUAAGAG
ensembl:lncRNA